GGAGCGUGGGGCAGGCUGUUCUCGGUUUUCCCUCCGCGCCUAAUCACUCGAUGCUUUGCACGUGGAGCAGCAAUGACCCCAGUUGCCACUUACUGAGCUCCUCAUCUGGGCCCCUGGCGCCGUUACCCUCCUCAGCCCUACGGCCUGGCCGACUCUUCACACCCUUCCUCUGAGGUGUCGAACAUCCUGUUUUUCUCUGAGUAACGUGACCCUGUCAAUGACCCACUGCGUUGCAGAAAUGACAUCAUGGGAUUAAACUGAGAACGGCUGAAGAGACGUGAUUAUGGGCGUCUAGGGACCUCCGCUUGUCCCUUUACCUUUCAGCAAGUUUGGAGAUGCUGAACAAGAAGAAGUCUGCACAUAAGCGUUCGCUUCCCAGAGGGCGGGGGUCACACCUGAGGGACCACAGGCCCGGUGCCAGCGUGGGGAGCCCAUCUGGUCCGGGCUGCUUUUGCAAAUAAAGUUUUAUUGGCACUGA